ensembl:snRNA U6 U6 spliceosomal RNA
GUGCUUGCUUUGGCAGCACAUAUGCUAAUACUGGAAUGAUGCAGAGAAGAUUAGCAUAAUCCCUGCACAAGGAUGACACGCAAAUAUGUGAAGCUUUCUAUAUUUUU